rnacentral:tRNA from 1 species
GUAUAGAUGGCUGAGUGGUCGAAAGCAGCGGAUUACUAAUCCGUUGCACGAGUUAUUCGUACC